GUCCAGACUCCUACGGGAGGCAGCAGUGGGGAAUAUUGCACAAUGGGCGCAAGCCUGAUGCAGCCAUGCCGCGUGUGUGAAGAAGGCCUUCGGGUUGUAAAGCACUUUCAGCGAGGAGGAAGGUGGUGAGCUUAAUACGUUCAUCAAUUGACGUUACUCGCAGAAGAAGCACCGGCUAACUCCGUGCAGCAGCCGCGGUAAUACGGAGGGUGCGAGCGUUAAUCGGAAUUACUGGGCGUAAAGCGCACGCAGGCGGUUUGUUAAGUCAGAUGUGAAAUCCCCGGGCUCAACCUGGGAACUGCAUUUGGAACUGGCAAGCUAGAGUCUCGUAGAGGGGGGUAGAAUUCCAGGUGUAGCGGUGAAAUGCGUAGAGAUCUGGAGGAAUACCGGUGGCGAAGGCGGCCCCCUGGACGAAGACUGACGCUCAGGUGCGAAAGCGUGGGGAGCAAACAGGAUUAGAUACCCUGGUAAUCCACGCUGUAAACGAUGUCGAUUUGGAGGUUGUGCCCUUGAGGCGUGGCUUCCGGAGCUAACGCGUUAAAUCGACCGCCUGGGGAGUACGGCCGCAAGGUUAAAACUCAAAUGAAUUGACGGGGGCCCGCACAAACGGUGGAGCAUGUGGUUUAAUUCGAUGCAACGCGAAGAACCUUACCUACUCUUGACAUCCAGAGAACUUUCCAGAGAUGGAUUGGUGCCUUCGGGAACUCUGAGACAGGUGCUGCAUGGCUGUCGUCAGCUCGUGUUGUGAAAUGUUGGGUUAAGUCCCGCAACGAGCGCAACCCUUAUCCUUUGUUGCCGGCGGUUCGGCCGGGAACUCAAAGGAGACUGCCAGUGAUAAACUGGAGGAAGGUGGGGAUGA
rnacentral:rRNA from 1 species